CCUACGGGAGGCAGCAGUGGGGAAUAUUGGGCAAUGGGCGCAAGCCUGACCCAGCAACGCCGCGUGAAGGAAGAAGGCUUUCGGGUUGUAAACUUCUUUUCUCAGGGACGAAGAAAGUGACGGUCCCUGAUGAUUAAGCCCCGGCUAACUACGUGCCAUCAGCCGCGGUAUUACGUAGGUGGCAAGCGUUAUCCGGAUUUCCUGGGUGUAAAGGGCGCGUAGACGGUGCAGCAAGUCUGAUGUGAAAGGACGGGGCCCAACCCCGGGACUGCAUUGGAAACUGUUGAUCUUGAGUACAGGAGAGGCAAACGGAAUUCCUAGUGUAGCGGUGAAAUGCGUAGAUAUUAGGAGGAACACCAGUGGCGAAGGCGGUCUGCUGGACUGUAACUGACGUUGAGGCUCGAAAGCGUGGGGAGCAAACAGGAUUAGAUACCCUAGUAGUC
rnacentral:rRNA from 1 species